rnacentral:rRNA from 1 species
UACGUAGGGUGCAAGCGUUAAUCGGAAUUACUGGGCGUAAAGGGCUCGUAGGUGGCCAACUAAGUCAGACGUGAAAUCCCCCGGCUUAACCUGGGAACUGCGUCUGAUACUGGAGGGCUUGAGUAUGGGAGAGGGAUGUAGAAUUCCAGGUGUAGCGGUGAAAUGCGUAGAUAUCUGGAGGAAUACCGGUGGCGAAGGCGGCAUCCUGGACCAUUACUGACGCUGAGGCGCGAAAGCUAGGGGAGCAAACGGG